AACGAACGCUGGCGGCAUGCCUAACACAUGCAAGUCGAACGAGACCUUCGGGUCUAGUGGCGCACGGGUGCGUAACGCGUGGGAAUCUGCCCUUGGGUUCGGAAUAACAGUUAGAAAUGACUGCUAAUACCGGAUGAUGUCUUCGGACCAAAGAUUUAUCGCCCAAGGAUGAGCCCGCGUAAGAUUAGCUAGUUGGUGAGGUAAUGGCUCACCAAGGCGACGAUUCUAGCUGGUCUGAGAGGAUGAUCAGCCACACUGGGACUGAGACACGGCCCAGACUCCUACGGGAGGCAGCAGUGGGGAAUAUUGGACAAUGGGCGAAAGCCUGAUCCAGCAAUGCCGCGUGAGUGAUGAAGGCC
rnacentral:rRNA from 1 species